rnacentral:tRNA from 1 species
AGCAUUCAACGGAUAGAAUAGAUGUUUCCUAAACAUUUGAUCCAGGUUCGACUCCUGGAGGGGCUA